GGCCUUUCAAGCUCAGCAGCAGAGCACCUGCUUUGCAUUCAGGAGGUCCCAGCUUCAAUCCCUGGCAGUGUCU